AGUGAACGCUGGCGGUAGGCCUAACACAUGCAAGUCGAACGAAGCCUUCGGGCUUAGUGGCGGACGGGUGAGUAACACGUGGGAACGUACCUUUUGGUUCGGAAUAACGCAGAGAAAUUUGCGCUAAUACCGAAUGAGCCCUGAGGGGGAAAGAUUUAUCGCCGAAAGAUCGGCCCGCGUUGGAUUAGGUAGUUGGUGUGGUAAAGGCGCACCAAGCCUACGAUCCAUAGCUGGUCUGAGAGGAUGAUCAGCCACACUGGGACUGAGACACGGCCCAGACUCCUACGGGAGGCAGCAGUGGGGAAUCUUGCGCAAUGGGCGAAAGCCUGACGCAGCCAUGCCGCGUGAAUGAUGAAGGUCUUAGGAUUGUAAAAUUCUUUUACCAGGGACGAUAAUGACGGUACCUGGAGAAAAAGCCCCGGCUAACUUCGUGCCAGCCGCCGCAGUAAUAC
rnacentral:rRNA from 1 species